UAGCUCAGUUGUUAGAGCAUGGUGUUUGCAAAGCCAGGGUUGUGGGUUCGAUUCCCAC
rnacentral:tRNA from 1 species